rnacentral:rRNA from 1 species
GGGAAUAUUGCACAAUGGGCGCAAGCCUGAUGCAGCCAUGCCGCGUGUAUGAAGAAGGCCUUCGGGUUGUAAAGUACUUUCAGCGAGGAGGAAGGCAUUGUGGUUAAUAACCACAGUGAUUGACGUUACUCGCAGAAGAAGCACCGGCUAACUCCGUG